UCUCCGUUGGUGAACCAGCGGAGGGAUCAUUACCGAGUCUACAACUCCCAAACCCAAUGUGAACCAUACCAAACUGUUGCCUCGGCGGGGUCACGCCCCGGGUGCGUCGCAGCCCCGGAACCAGGCGCCCGCCGGAGGGACCAACCAAACUCUUUCUGUAGUCCCCUCGCGGACGUUAUUUCUUACAGCUCUGAGCAAAAAUUCAAAAUGAAUCAAAACUUUCAACAACGGAUCUCUUGGUUCUG
rnacentral:misc_RNA from 1 species